AUCCACACACCGUCGAUUCAGAUCCCUCUUUCACUCACUCCCCUUCUCUCUCUUUCUUACUUUCUAAUUCUAUUGCAAGAUCUCUAUCUCCUUCGCUCUUCUUGGAUUCAAUAUCACCGCACCGCUCAACAAGCCUGAGUCGAAGGGGUGGGAGAGGAAGAGAAGGGAUAGGAGAAUUAAGCGGAUCAAAGAACGGACUUAUAAUCGAG
rnacentral:lncRNA from 1 species